rnacentral:rRNA from 1 species
AUUGAACGCUGGCGGCAUGCCUUACACAUGCAAGUCGAACGGUAACAGGUCUUCGGAUGCUGACGAGUGGCGAACGGGUGAGUAAUACAUCGGAACGUGCCCGAGAGUGGGGGAUAACGUAGCGAAAGUUACGCUAAUACCGCAUACGAUCUAUGGAUGAAAGCAGGGGACCUUCGGGCCUUGUGCUCCUGGAGCGGCCG